rnacentral:rRNA from 1 species
UGGGGAAUAUUGGACAAUGGGCGCAAGCCUGAUCCAGCCAUGCCGCGUGAGUGAUGAAGGCCCUAGGGUUGUAAAGCUCUUUCACCGGUGAAGAUAAUGACGGUAACCGGAGAAGAAGCCCCGGCUAACUUCGUGCCAGCAGCCGCGGUAAUACGAAGGGGGCUAGCGUUGUUCGGAUUUACUGGGCGUAAAGCGCACGUAGGCGGACUAUUAAGUCAGGGGUGAAAUCCCGGGGCUCAACCCCGGAACUGCCUUUGAUACUGGUAGUCUUGAGUUCGAGAGAGGUGAGUGGAAUGCCGAGUGUAGAGGUGAAAUUCGUAGAUAUUCGGAGGAACACCAGUGGCGAAGGCGGCUCACUGGCUCGAUACUGACGCUGAGGUGCGAAAGCGUGGGGAGCAAACAGG